AUUUAAAUGUAUUUCUGCGCUAAUUCUUAUUUACUGUGAAUUUAUUGGUUGUGCCGGACUGAGCCCGAAGAGUAAGGGGGGUCGGUUGGAUUGAUGGUUGAGAGAAUAUUUAAAGGGGAAUUAAUUUUCUUUGUCGAGUACAGUUUAAUUUUUGGAGGUAUUAGUUUAUAUUUUCUGUUAUGGAGUUGUGAAUGGGAAGAAGUGUGCUUUGUUUAAUGUUGGUUAAAUUGUUAGUAAUUGUUUGGGACUGCGAACUGCUGGAAUAAGUGUGAGUUAUUGGAAUUUGAAUUGGCAUUGGUCUUGAUGCUUGUAUUGGACAAUACUGAGAUUGGUAUAGAAUAUUUUGGGUCGAAGUGAGGGCUGUCCGGAUUGUUAUUUGGCUGUUGGAGUUUGAUUAAACUUGCUGAAUUAUGAUCUAGAGUUUGGGUCUUGAGUUGUCUAAGACCAAUUUUGUGUUGUUGGACUUUAAUAUUUAGUUUAUAUUAUUUUUAUGAAUAGGUGACGAGACGGAUAGAGACUGUUUUCAAGUCAUAGAUAAUGCACUGCAGGAGUCAGAUGAUGUGGAGAGUCAAAAUGAGGACCUGGAUUAGAUUGCUGUUUGUGUUUAAGCUGAGGAGAUGUUGGUAGAAGAAGGACUUCUGAUGUUCUUAGUUUUAAUCUCUUUGAGUUUUAGUAAUAUCUUGGGUUUCAGUAAGAUUUAUGAAAUUAUUGGUUGGGUUGUUAUGACUAUCGGAAGAUUUCGGACUCUUUAAUUUAUUUUAGCUGCAGUAAUAACUUUGUGGAGUUUUCAAUG